rnacentral:rRNA from 1 species
UACCAGCACCCCGAGUGGUCGGGACGUUUAUUGGGCCUAAAGCAUCCGUAGCCGGUUCUACAAGUCUUCCGUUAAAUCCAGCUGCUUAACAGAUGGGCUGCGGAAGAUACUAUGGAGCUAGGAGGCGGGAGAGGCAAGCGGUACUCGAUGGGUAGGGGUAAAAUCCGUUGAUCCGUUGAAGACCACCAGUGGCGAAGGCGGCUUGCCAGAACGCGCUCGACGGUGAGGGAUGAAAGCUGGGGGAGCAAACCGG